rnacentral:rRNA from 1 species
CAUCGAGGCCUACCAUGCAAGUCGAGGGGCAGCACGAUCUUCGGAUUGGUGGCGACCGGCGCACGGGUGCGUAACGCGUAUGCAACCUACCCAUAACAGUGGGAUAGCCCGGAGAAAUCCGGAUUAAUACCGCAUAAUAUUUAUAUAUGGCAUCAUUUAUAGAUUAAAGAUUUAUUGGUUAUGGAUGGGCAUGCGUAUGAUUAGUUAGUUGGUGAGGUAAUGGCUCACCAAGGCAACGAUCAUUAGGGGUUCUGAGAGGAAGGUCCCCCACACUGGUACUGAGACACGGACCAGACUCCUACGGGAGGCAGCAGUGAGGAAUAUUGGUCAAUGGGCGCAAGCCUGAACCAGCCAUGUCGCGUGCAGGAAGACUGCCCUAUGGGUUGUAAACUGCUUUUAUACGGGAAUAAUAUCAGAUACGUGUAUUUGAAUGAAUGUACCGUAUGAAUAAGGAUCGGCUAACUCCGUGCCAGCAGCCGCGGUAAUACGGAGGAUUCGAGCGUUAUCCGGAUUCAUUGGGUUUAAAGGGUGCGUAGGCGGAUGCAUAAGUCAGUGGUGAAAUCCUGCAGCUCAACUGUAGAAUUGCCAUUGAAACUGUGUAUCUUGAGUAUGGACGAGGCAGGCGGAAUGUGUAAUGUAGCGGUGAAAUGCAUAGAUAUUACACAGAACCCCGAUUGCGAAGGCAGCUUGCCAGGCCAUUACUGACGCUGAUGCACGAAAGCGUGGGUAGCGAACAGGAUUAGAUACCCUGGUAGUCCACGCCGUAAACGAUGUUCACUAGCUGUAUGCGAUAUGAUAGUAUGCGGCCGAGCGAAAGCAUUAAGUGAACCACCUGGGGAGUACGUUGGCAACAAUGAAACUCAAAGGAAUUGACGGGGGCCCGCACAAGCGGAGGAACAUGUGGUUUAAUUCGAUGAUACGCGAGGAACCUUACCUGGCUAAUGCAGAGUGCAUAGAGUAGAGAUACUCUUUCUUCGGACUCUUUGCAAGUGCUGCAUGGUUGUCGUCAGCUCGUGCCGUGAGGUGUC